UUUAUGGAGAGUUUGAUCCUGGCUCAGAGUGAACGCUGGCGGCGUGCCUAAUACAUGCAAGUCGAACGAUGAAGCUUUCUAGCUUGCUAGAGUGCUGAUUAGUGGCGCACGGGUGAGUAACGCAUAGGUCAUGUGCCUCUUAGUUUGGGAUAGCCAUUGGAAACGAUGAUUAAUACCAGAUACUCCCUACGGGGGAAAGAUUUAUCGCUAAGAGAUCAGCCUAUGUCCUAUCAGCUUGUUGGUAAGGUAAUGGCUUACCAAGGCUAUGACGGGUAUCCGGCCUGAGAGGGUGAACGGACACACUGGAACUGAGACACGGUCCAGACUCCUACGGGAGGCAGCAGUAGGGAAUAUUGCUCAAUGGGGGAAACCCUGAAGCAGCAACGCCGCGUGGAGGAUGAAGGUUUUAGGAUUGUAAACUCCUUUUGUUAGAGAAGAUAAUGACGGUAUCUAACGAAUAAGCACCGGCUAACUCCGUGCCAGCAGCCGCGGUAAUACGGAGGGUGCAAGCGUUACUCGGAAUCACUGGGCGUAAAGAGCGCGUAGGCGGGAUAGUCAGUCAGGUGUGAAAUCCUAUGGCUUAACCAUAGAACUGCAUUUGAAACUACUAUUCUAGAGUGUGGGAGAGGUAGGUGGAAUUCUUGGUGUAGGGGUAAAAUCCGUAGAGAUCAAGAGGAAUACUCAUUGCGAAGGCGACCUGCUGGAACAUUACUGACGCUGAUUGCGCGAAAGCGUGGGGAGCAAACAGGAUUAGAUACCCUGGUAGUCCACGCCCUAAACGAUGGAUGCUAGUUGUUGGAGGGCUUAGUCUCUCCAGUAAUGCAGCUAACGCAUUAAGCAUCCCGCCUGGGGAGUACGGUCGCAAGAUUAAAACUCAAAGGAAUAGACGGGGACCCGCACAAGCGGUGGAGCAUGUGGUUUAAUUCGAAGAUACACGAAGAACCUUACCUAGGCUUGACAUUGAGAGAAUCCGCUAGAAAUAGUGGAGUGUCUAGCUUGCUAGACCUUGAAAACAGGUGCUGCACGGCUGUCGUCAGCUCGUGUCGUGAGAUGUUGGGUUAAGUCCCGCAACGAGCGCAACCCCCUUUCUUAGUUGCUAACAGGUCAUGCUGAGAACUCUAAGGAUACUGCCUCCGUAAGGAGGAGGAAGGUGGGGACGACGUCAAGUCAUCAUGGCCCUUACGCCUAGGGCUACACACGUGCUACAAUGGGGUGCACAAAGAGAAGCAAUACUGCGAAGUGGAGCCAAUCUUCAAAACACCUCUCAGUUCGGAUUGUAGGCUGCAACUCGCCUGCAUGAAGCUGGAAUCGCUAGUAAUCGCAAAUCAGCCAUGUUGCGGUGAAUACGUUCCCGGGUCUUGUACUCACCGCCCGUCACACCAUGGGAGUUGUGUUUGCCUUAAGUCAGGAUGCUAAAUUGGCUACUGCCCACGGCACACACAGCGACUGGGGUGAAGUCGUAACAAGGUAACCGUAGGUGAACCUGCGGUUGGAUCACCUCCUUU
rnacentral:rRNA from 1 species